rnacentral:rRNA from 1 species
GACGAACGCUGGCGGCGUGCUUAACACAUGCAAGUCGAACGGAAAGGCCUGCUUUCCCUUGUGGAUUGCGGGUACUCGAGUGGCGAACGGGUGAGUAACACGUGAGUGAUCUGCCCCCAACUUGGGUAUAAGCCUGGGAAACUGGGUCUAAUUCCCGAUAGGGCUGCAGGGUGGUGCCUGUGGUGGAAAACGAUUUUCUAGUGGUUGGGGAUGAGCUCGCGGCCUAUCAGCUUGUUGGUGGGGUAAUGGCCUACCAAGGCGGCGACGGGUAGCCGGCCUGAGAGGGUGGACGGCCACAUUGGGACUGAGAUACGGCCCAGACUCCUACGGGAGGCAGCAGUGGGGAAUAUUGCACAAUGGGCGGAAGCCUGAUGCAGCGACGCCGCGUGGGGGAUGACGGCCUUCGGGUUGUAAACUCCUUUCGACCGCGAGGAAGCCACCUGGUUGGAAGGGUGGUGACGGUAGUGGUAGAAGAAGCACCGGCUAACUACGUG